rnacentral:rRNA from 1 species
AUUUAUUAAAUAUCUUUAAAGUUUUAUAAACACGAAGUAAUGCGAGCUAAAUAUAGGUAUUUAUUAGAAAUUUAUGACGCGUAUUACAUAACACGGUGGAAAUAAUUAUUUAGUGGUGAAAGGCUUUACACGCAUUACGAUAUCUUGUUGUGCAAAUAAUAUAUCUAGUAUAUAAAAAUCAAACUAGUAAAGCCAAGCUUGUUAGUGUACAUCUCGUAAAUUUCGCUAGCGCAUCAAAGUUUAACCGCUAGUAAGUUGAAAAUGACAAUAUUAUUCAAUUUACAUAAUGUUUAACCUUGCGCAUCACUAAACCCGUACCCAAGUUACUAAUGUAUUUAUGAGUAGUAUUAUAAAAUACUUUAAAGGAACUCGGCAAAGAGCUGCUCGACUGUUUAUCAAAAACAUAACUUUAUGAUAAAAUAUAAAGCUUUUUCUGCUCCAUGGGAAUCUAAAUAGCCGCAGUACCCUGACUGUGCAAAGGUAGCAUAAUCAGUUGACUUAUAAUUGAAGUCUAGAAUGAAUGAAUAUACGGGCAGCGACUGUCUCAGAAGUAUUUUUACUAACUUAGUUACCAAGUGCAAAUACUUGAAGUUAUAAAAAAGACGAGAAGACCCUAGAAACUUUAUUUAUUUUGUUGGGGCGACAGAAUUACAAUAUAACUAAUUUUAUAUUACAAGAAAUAUAAGGGAAAGAACAAGUUACUCUAGGGAUAACAGCAUAAUUUAAUCUAAGUUUGUGACCUCGAUGUUGGAUUAGGUAUAAUAGUUUUUAAAAGAAUCUAUUUAUAGCUCUGUUCGAGCAAUAUAACCUACGUGAUCUGAGUUCAGACCGG